rnacentral:rRNA from 1 species
GACGAACGCUGGCGGCGUGCUUAACACAUGCAAGUCGAACGGUAAACCUCUUCGUAGGGGAUCAGUGGCGAACGGGUGAGUAACACGUGGGCAACCUGCCCCCGUCUCUGGGCUAACUCCAAGAAAUUGGGGCUAAUACCGGAUGGUCACCGCUUCCCUCACGGGUGGUUGGGGAAAGGGUUUUGGGGUUGGGAUGGGCCCGCGUUGGAUCAGCUGGUUGGUAGGGUUAGGUCCUACCAAGGCGACGACGGCUAGCCGGUCGGAGAGGAUGACCAGCCACGCCUGAACUGAGACACGGCCCAGACUCCUACGGGACGGAGCAGUAGGGAAUAUUAGACAAGGAGCGAAAGCGUAAUCAAGCAGUGCCGCGUGAGAGAUGAAGGCGUUAGUAUUGCAAAGCCCUUAGGCCCGAGAUGAAAGUGACAGUACCGGGAGAAGAAGCACCGGCUAACUCCGUG